rnacentral:rRNA from 2 species
AAACUGCGAAUGGCUCAUUAAAUCAGUUAUCGUUUAUUUGAUAGUACCUUACUACUUGGAUAACCGUGGUAAUUCUAGAGCUAAUACAUGCUGAAAACCCUGACUUCGGAAAGGGUGUAUUUAUUAGAUAAAAAACCAAUGCCCUUUGGGCUCUUUGGUGAUUCAUGAUAACUUAACGGAUCGCAUGGCCUUGCGCCGGCGACGGUUCAUUCAAAUUUCUGCCCUAUCAACUUUCGAUGGUAAGGUAUUGGCUUACCAUGGUUUCAACGGGUAACGGGGAAUUAGGGUUCGAUUCCGGAGAGGGAGCCUGAGAAACGGCUACCACAUCCAAGGAAGGCAGCAGGCGCGCAAAUUACCCAAUCCCGACACGGGGAGGUAGUGACAAUAAAUACUGAUACAGGGCUCUUUUGGGUCUUGUAAUCGGAAUGAGUACAAUUUAAACCUCUUAACGAGGAACAAUUGGAGGGCAAGUCUGGUGCCAGCAGCCGCGGUAAUUCCAGCUCCAAUAGCGUAUAUUAAAGUUGUUGCAGUUAAAAAGCUCGUAGUUGAAUCUUGGGCCUGGCUGGCCGGUCCGCCUCACCGCGUGUACUGGUCUGGCCGGGCCUUUCCUUCUGGAGAACCUCAUGUCCUUCAUGGGUGUGUUGGGGGAACAGGACUUUUACUUUGAAAAAAUAAAGUGUUCAAAGCAGGCCUUUGCUCGAAUACGUUAGCAUGGAAUAUAAGAAUAGGACGUGCGGU